AGUGAACGCUGGCGGUAGGCCUAACACAUGCAAGUCGAACGGCAGCACAGUAAGAGCUUGCUCUUACGGGUGGCGAGUGGCGGACGGGUGAGGAAUACAUCGGAAUCUACUUUUUCGUGGGGGAUAACGUAGGGAAACUUACGCUAAUACCGCAUACGACCUACGGGUGAAAGCAGGAGAUCUUCGGACCUUGCGCGAUUGAAUGAGCCGAUGUCGGAUUAGCUAGUUGGCGGGGUAAAGGCCCACCAAGGCGACGAUCCGUAGCUGGUCUGAGAGGAUGAUCAGCCACACUGGAACUGAGACACGGUCCAGACUCCUACGGGAGGCAGCAGUGGGGAAUAUUGGGCAAUGGGCGCAAGCCUGAUCCAGCCAUACCGCGUGGGUGAAGAAGGCCUUCGGGUUGUAAAGCCCUUUUGUUGGGAAAGAACAGCAGCAGGUUAAUACCCCGCUGUUCUGACGGUACCCAAAGAAUAAGCACCGGCUAACUUCGUG
rnacentral:rRNA from 1 species